GCACACACCAUGGAUCUCUCUGUCCAUGGAACUGGGCCUUUUAAAGGCUUAAAAACCCAGCUAAUAUCGGAAACACACUUCUGAUCGGACUUCUGCAACUUCUCGACUAUCUGAUCUGCAUCAAAUGAUCAAAACAACGCGUUGGAUCAUGUCCAAAAUGAAUCAUAAAAGCUCUCAACCAUUGGAUCAUCAUUGGGAGAUCAAUCCAUCAUCUGAUUGCGCCUUUG
rnacentral:lncRNA from 1 species